GGCUCCAUAGCUCAGUUGGUAGAGCAGUAGACUGAAAAUCUGCGUGUCGGCGGUUCGAUUCCGUCUGGCGCCACCA
rnacentral:tRNA from 1 species